rnacentral:rRNA from 1 species
ACNUGCAGUCGAGCGAAUGGAUUAAGAGCUUGCUCUUAUGAAGUUAGCGGCGGACGGGUGAGUAACACGUGGGUAACCUGCCCAUAAGACUGGGAUAACUCCGGGAAACCGGGGCUAAUACCGGAUAACAUUUUGAACCGCAUGGUUCGAAAUUGAAAGGCGGCUUCGGCUGUCACUUAUGGAUGGACCCGCGUCGCAUUAGCUAGUUGGUGAGGUAACGGCUCACCAAGGCAACGAUGCGUAGCCGACCUGAGAGGGUGAUCGGCCACACUGGGACUGAGACACGNCNNAGACUNNUACGGGAGGCAGCAGUAGGGAAUCUUCCGCAAUGGACGAAAGUCUGACGGAGCAACGCCGCGUGAGUGAUGAAGGCUUUCGGGUCGUAAAACUCUGUUGUUAGGGAAGAACAAGUGCUAGUUGAAUAAGCUGGCACCUUGACGGUACCUAACCAGAAAGCCACGGCUAACUACGUGCCAGCAGCCGCGGUAAUACGUAGGUGGCAAGCGUUAUCCGGAAUUAUUGGGCGUAAAGCGCGCGCAGGUGGUUUCUUAAGUCUGAUGUGAAAGCCCACGGCUCAACCGUGGAGGGUCAUUGGAAACUGGGAGACUUGAGUGCAGAAGAGGAAAGUGGAAUUCCAUGUGUAGCGGUGAAAUGCGUAGAGAUAUGGAGGAACACCAGGNNCGA